ACGAACGCUGGCGGCACGCUAACACAUGCAAGUCGAACGGAGUUAAGGAGCUUGCUUUUAAACUUAGUGGCGGACGGGUGAGUAACACGUGAGCAAUCUGCCUUCAGAGGGGGAUAGCAGUUGGAAACGACUGAUAAUACCGCAUAACAUAGCGAAACCGCAUGAUUUUGCUAUCAAAGAUUUAUCGCUGAAAGAUGAGCUCGCGUCUGAUUAGGUAGUUGGUGAGGUAACGGCUCACCAAGCCGACGAUCAGUAGCCGGACUGAGAGGUUGAACGGCCACAUUGGGACUGAGACACGGCCCAGACUCCUACGGGAGGCAGCAGUGGGGAAUAUUGCACAAUGGGCGCAAGCCUGAUGCAGCGAUGCCGCGUGAGGGAAGAAGGUUUUAGGAUUGUAAACCUCUGUCCUAUGGAAAGAUAAUGACGGUACCAUAGGAGGAAGCUCCGGCUAACUACGUGCCAGCCGCAGC
rnacentral:rRNA from 1 species